rnacentral:rRNA from 1 species
UGGGGAAUAUUGCACAAUGGGCGAAAGCCUGAUGCAGCAACGCCGCGUGAGUGAUGAAGGCCUUCGGGUUGUAAAGCUCUGUCUUUUGGGACGAUAAUGACGGUACCAAAGGAGGAAGCCACGGCUAACUACGUGCCAGCAGCCGCGGUAAUACGUAGGUGGCAAAGCGUUGUCCGGAUUUACUGGGCGUAAAGGAUGCGUAGGCGGAUUUUUAAGUGAGAUGUGAAAACCCUAAGCUUAACUUGGGGACUGCAUUUCAUACUGGAAAUCUAGAGUGCGGGAGAGGAGAAUGGAAUUCCUAGUGUAGCGGUGAAAAUGCGUAGAGAUUAGGAAGAACACCAGUGGCGAAGGCGAUUCUCUGGACCGUAACUGACGCUGAGGCAUGAAAGCGUGGGUAGCAAAACAGGAUUAGAUACCCUGGUAGUCCACGCCGUAAACGAUGAGUACUAGGUGUAGGAGGUAUCGACCCCUUCUGUGCCGCAGUUAACACAAUAAGUACUCCGCCUGGGAAGUACGAUCGCAAGAUUAAAAACUUAAAAUGAAAUUGACGGGGGUCAUAGCUGUUUUCCU